UACAGAGGGUGCGAGCGUUAAUCGGAUUUACUGGGCGUAAAGCGCACGUAGGCGGACUGGAAAGUUGGGGGUGAAAUCCCGGGGCUCAACCCCGGAACUGCCCUUGAUACUGGUAGUCUGGAGUUCUGGAGAGGUGAGUGGAGUUCCGAGUGUAGAGGUGAAAUUCGUAGAUAUUCGGAGGAACACCAGUGGCGAAGGCGGCUCACUGGCCAGAUACUGACGCUGAGGUGCGAAAGCGUGGGGAUCAAACAGG
rnacentral:misc_RNA from 1 species